GCGCUCUUCCAACCGGAAGUGCUGAUGUAGUUUCUGUAAACUUGAAAGGAAGGUCAACAACAACAACAACAAGCAGCCAGUUAACGGCGGGGUUUCACUCUUUGUUCAAAGUCACUCUGUGAACGAAGUCACUCUGUGAACGAAGUCACUCUCCGGUUUAACGGCUCAUGUUCCCGGUUUGCUCCCAGUCAAACUUCCGGUUAGCUCCGUUAGCCGUUAGCAUGCAGUGUGUUAACGUUCUGAAGAGAAGUUUGGAACCGGAAGUGGAUUCAUGGAGCUGCAGAGCGUAACCCUGGAGGUGUUGUGUUCUCAGAAGCGAGUGUGUUUGGAGCUCCAGGUGACGGACUGUCCAAUGGAAAUGUCCCACACCUUCACGGCGUCCAAUCAGCAUCAAGAACAGCAGGUGGUCCGGCCCAGACCUCCUAUGCUCUGCUGUCCCAGGUGUCUUGGAGGAGAACCAGGUCACAUCAACCACAUCAUGGGCCACUGAGGGGCCUACUGGAUGAUGUCAUCAUGACCCCGCCCACUGAAAGGACCAGGUGUUCCCCCACCUCUCAUGUCCGUCCUGGAUGAUGUCAUCAUGACCCCGCCCACUGAAAGGACCAGGUGUUCCCCCACCUCUCAUGUCCGUCCUGGAUGAUGUCAUCAUGACCCCGCCCACUGAAAGGACCAGGUGUUCCCCCACCUCUCAUGUCCGUCCUGGAUGAUGUCAUCAUGACCCCGCCCACUGAAAGGACCAGGUGUUCCCCCACCUCUCAUGUCCGUCCUGGAUGAUGUCAUCAUGACCCCGCCCACUGAAAGGACCAGGUGUUCCCCCACCUCUCAUGUCCUCCGCCGGUGAUGGAGACCGUCCAGUCGUUGGGAUUCAAACUUUAUUAGUUUGUCUUUGUUUGUGUGUUCACGUUCAUCAACACAGCUCAUUGUAUCAGCAGUACCCAAUCAUACAGCCUUCCUACUACUGACACCGUCAGUGAUUUGACCUUUGACCUCUGGGCUGCCUCCGAUCUCGUGAGACGUUCACUGUCUCUGACAUCGGCCACUAAAGGGCUAUUCACGUUUCUAUCUCAGCGCUCUUAUCUCGCCGUGAGAACACACCCAGAGAUAAACCUGCUGGUCUGAACCACCUGACCCUGAACCACCUGACCCUGAACCACCUGACCCUGAACCACGAGACCGGUUGGGGGACUAACCCGGGGGGACAAUCUGACGACUUUCACUUCCAGAAAGAAGCGUUGGCAAAUGUGUUGUUCAGUAGAAUUCUGGUCACAAUUACAAAAAACUAAACAAUGUAAGGUUUGACAUUAAGGUUUCUUGUAUUGCUAAAGUAGUUUCUUACUAAAGUAGUUUCUUGUAUUGCUAAUGUAGUUUCUUACUAAAGUAGUUUCUUGUAUUGCUAAAGUAGUUUCUUACUAAAGUAGUUUCUUGUAUUGCUAAAGUAGUUUCUUACUAAAGUAGUUUCUUGUAUUGCUAAUGUAGUUUCUUACUAAAGUAGUUUCUUGUAUUGCUAAAGUAGUUUCUUACUAAAGUAGUUUCUUGUAUUGCUAAUGUAGUUUCUUACUAAAGUAGUUUCUUGUAUUGCUAAAGUAGUUUCUUACUAAAGUAGUUUCUUGUAUUGCUAAAGUAGUUUCUUACUAAAGUAGUUUCUUGUAUUGCUAAAGUAGUUUCUUACUUAAGUAGUUUCAGUGACUGGAUCCAUUAUUAUUGUUUGAUAUCAGAGACCAGAAGUCUUAUUUCAGAGUUCUGUUGGACAUUAACUGGUUUUGUUUCAGGGGAUUUUGAAACAUUCCCUUAGUAACUCCUCAAAGGGAGUUGGCAUUCAUUAAAAGGGAAAUUAAUAAUUUUAUUAAUGUGUUCUUCCAAAAGAGUCUGAAAUCUUCCUUUUUGUAAAUUUAUAUUUUUGUGAGAGAUUUUUUAAUUGUGAAGCAGGUUUUUAUUAAUCUGACAGAAUGUAAGUCAGCUUCCUGUAGAGCUCUAUUUUUAAUGACAUCGUUCUUCCUUUGGAGCUGACCAAUCAGACUGCAGGCUGAUUUCAAAAUAAAACAUUUGAAUUAAA